rnacentral:rRNA from 1 species
CAGUAGCCACGGGAAUACGUAGGUGGCAAGCGUUGUCCGGAAUUAUUGGGCGUAAAGGGCUCGCAGGCGGUUUCUUAAGUCUGAUGUGAAAGCCCCCGGCUCAACCGGGGAGGGUCAUUGGAAACUGGGAAACUUGAGUGCAGAAGAGGAGAGUGGAAUUCCACGUGUAGCGGUGAAAUGCGUAGAGAUGUGGAGGAACACCAGUGGCGAAGGCGACUCCCUGGUCUGUAACUGACGCUGAGGAGCGAAAGCGUGGGGAGCGAACAGGAUUAGAUACCCGCGUAGUCCCUGUCUCUUAUAC